rnacentral:lncRNA from 1 species
CAAUGUGAAUACACUGAGCAUAAGAAGCAACACAUUCUAUAACAAAACUAAUUAUCCAAAUAUCUCAUUUGAUAAUAUAUUAACAGUUUCAUAUUUUAGUAUAGUUAUAUUCAGUAGGAUGCAUUAAUGACUAUAGUGUGCUUUUUUAGUAUAUAACAAUCAAUGUGAUAUAAAAUAAAAAUACAUACCCAGAAAUAAAACUUACAUCACAGUACAUCUUUACUUGAGUAUUUAGCUUUGACCUCCAACUUUGUAAAUCCUAAGGGUCAAAUCCAUUAAAUAAAAUUCUGUUAAUACACGCAGUUUAUCUGACAAUAAUAAUACAUACAUUAUUAUUGUGUAACUUGUAUGAUUAUUGUGAUAACUUGAGAAUAUUAUUUUUAUUAUAUAUAUGCCUAUAUCACAACGUAAUAUCAAUUCGAGGACAUUCUGUCUUGCUACUGUUUUUCUAUUUUGUAACAUUUUUUUUUCUUUGUAAAUUAUUGGAUAAAGUAUUUUUUGUCUUCCAUAAACUAAUAAUUUGCAAUUCAUGAUGAGUAAUAGUUAUUAUAAGUUACUGGUGUUUGGCAUGAACAUGUAAAUGGUUGGAGUGCUUAAAGCGAAAAAUGAGAAAUUCUUGGUGUCCUGCUUUGUAGAGUUGUCUGGUUUUUGAGAGUUUAGACAAAAAUAUUACGUUUGAAUAUAAUGAAUAGUGAAAUGAUUCAUUUCAUUUUAGUUGAAAUAAGUUAUUCCAUAUGUUCUCUCUCCCCCAAGGAACCAAACAUAAUUUUUUUUUAUUCCAAUAGCAACCAAACACAAUUUUUUUCAUUCCAUAUGAAUGAGUCAUUCCAUUCCCACCUACAUUACUCAAAUCCAAAUGUAGUGUAAGAGAAUUGUUUAUCAGUCUCGAUUUUGAUGUAAGUUAGUGUACCUAUACAGUAUUUAAUUUAGAUUACCUGUUUCAAAAGAGUUAUGUCUAUUGAGAAGCUUAAUGUUAAUUUCUAUGAACCACAUUUCAAACUUAGGUUUAGGAUUAGCCAUCACCCACGGGAAAAUUGUACAAAUAACAUAAAAAAACCGAAAUUGCAAUCUAAUAAUUUUAAAAAUACCGCGACACUGGUAGGAGUAACCGAAAAGCUUCAUAUAAAUUGAUAAAAUAGACCUGCUCCCCCAUUUUCGUCUCGAAAACCCCCAGAAUAACUUGGAGAUUUUUAGACAUAGUUUUCGAACGGCUCUGCAGAGAAUAUUCAUAACGAGGGGAAUAUAAGGUUAAAAAGUUAUUUCUGAUAUUGUAGAGAUCCUUCUACAAUUAAUGGAAUAUAUAUAUAUAUAUAUAUACCUGAAGGAAAAUAUGAGCAUUUAGCUCAUUUGCUGCCAUCAUGUCAGCCUCAGUGCCGCAAACUUGCUGUCCAGGAUAUACCCGUGUAGUGUAUAAAUAAUGUGAUUGGUAGAACAAAAUGAUAAUCUAAACUCUAAAGAGAUCAACUGAUCAGAAGUUACUAUAUAGAGAAAAUCUGUGAAUUUCUUAAUAAAUAUUGAUACAAUAAAAGCAUAAUUUGUCAUGGAGUCAAAAAUUAUGUCAAAAAUAAAUUCUCACUCAUUGACUAUAGAAAAUCAAUGCCAUCAUAAUUUAUACCCCUCAUUUCAAUCAACUGAAUUUAAAAGUUGAUAAAUGUCAUACGAGACUAAAGAUUUAGAUGGAUAAUCUUUCCCUCCUUGCAUAAAGCAAAACUAUGCAAUAUCUAGAUGUCUACAUUUAAUUUAUAUUACCACUUGAACAACAUUAGAUAAAAAAAACAGUAAAAUAGAGGAGAAAAAGGUUAGCAUAAAUCUGUUUCAACUCGCGUAUAAUGCUAUUCAACUUCAGAAAAAUGAAAAGCAAAGAAACAUUCGUCACUGUAGGAAAAUGAUAUCUAAAAGCACAAAAGGGAAAAGAAAAAUAACCAAGUUAACUUAUUACACUGUUUGAGGAUGAAUACAUUCUAGGUAUUAUCAAAUACCAAGUUAUAUUUCUUUUUUGGCAUUUCAUCAAAUAUGUAAUGUGCACUUUUCCAAAUAAAUGAAAGGAUAUGAUCAACUUGUUGCUCAAUUGCCCAGAAAGCCUAUUAUCGCUAAGAGUCAAUGUAGUCAAAUUUGUUGCCAAAACAGAUCAAAACAGACCAUCCCGUAUAGAACCUGAGAGAUAGUUUGAUCCAAGGUCCAGGUGUUCCAAUGAGCUGCAUUUCUCAAGCUCCAAUGGAAUAUUUCCAUUGAAAUAGUUCACUGCUAAAUUAAUAACUUGAAUACAUGGUGAGUUGUUACAUAUACCAUCAGGAACCAAACCCUGAAAAUAUUCUGAGAAAUGUUGAAUUAAAACUCGAAAUGAUGGCAGAUCGAUGCUAACUGUAAACAACCCAGAAAAGACAUUGUUGUUCAAGUCAAAAACCUCUAAAUUGGGCAAAUGCAACAGUGAUGUUGGAAAUGAGCCUUUGAGCACAUUGUGGGAUAAAUUAAGGGUGUUAAGAUGGUCUAAAUUGCAAUUGAUUAUGAGAGCUUGCCCAUUAAUCUUUCCCUUCCAAGUUCUAACUUAACUGCAAGUGAUGCCUACCCAAUCACAGCAAUUGGGGGGAAAAAGAUGAAUUUGCAUUCAAUUUCCGCACAUCACUAAUUGAGUUUAAACCAUUUAUCAACCCCUCCAAUGCCUUCAAAUCAUUUGAAUUGCAUGUCAAGUUCUGAGCAUUCAAAACCUCAAUUUGUAAAGAACCCCCAAAGAGAAUCAAAAUUAUCGAUAAUUCCAGAAUACAAAUCUCAGAAAAACAAUCCCAAAUACACGAAGAAAGAAAAGGGCCUAGUGAAAUCAACCAUAAAUCAAGAUUGAACCUUUAACCAUAUUCCAGAGCAAAAGAAAAAUGAAUAAAGACACGUAAAAAAUAUUUAAAAAAUUGGGGGCUUGUUGGAAUAAAACAUGAAUAUACAGAAAGACACAGUAUUGAUCACCUGAAAACUGCACGCUUUGUUGGCUCAAAAGAUAAGAUUUUGUUUCUGCUUCAACUUCCCGUUCUUGCAAUUAAGCAAAAGAAAAUAGAGAAGAUAAAAAGGAGAGACAUAAAAGUAGAUAGGGAACCCUAAAUCACAAAGCAAAAUCAAGUAUUUACCUCGUCCUAGUUGUCGCUGAUGACUUCAAUCUCAUCCUCAUCCUCAUCCUCAUCCUCAUCCUCAUCCUCAUUCACCGGUCAGAGGAAUUCAAGCCAUUUGAUAUUGAUUCAUCUAAAGAGUCAUUCGCUUUUGAGAGAUCGAGGGUUUUCAGAGGAUCUUUAUAAGAAGAGAGGGGAGAGUGCAUUAAAAUUUCAGAAUUCACCAACAAAAAAAAGUUAAAUUUCUUUAAAAAUUAAAACUAAAUUUCAUUCAAAAAUAAAAAGAGUAACAUAAAAAAAUUUCAAUAAAACAAAAGAAAUAAUCAUCAAUUACCUGAUUUGUUCUCGAAAUCGAAUAAAUCGGAUUAAAAAACCCUACAAAUUACAUCAAAAAAUUUUAAUAAAAAGAAGAGGAAGAGGAAGAGGGAGAGGGGGAAGUGGAAGUGGAACUCUGUAACUAUCGAAUCUAACAAAAUACUGAGGCUUGUUACUAUUGAUGUCUGAAAAAAAGAAGAAUAAAUCGGAUCAAAAAACCCUACAAAUUACAUCAAAAAAUUUCAAUAAAAAGAAGAGGAAGAGGGAGAGGGGGAAGUGGAAGUGAAACUCUGUGACUUUUGAAUCUAACAAAAUACUGAGGCUUGUUACUAUUGAUGUCUGAAGAAAAGAAGAAGUUGUAUUGAAGAGAUGAAGACAUGAUUGAAUUUAAUCAAAAAGGGAAUGGAAGAGGAAGAGGAAGAGGAAGAGGAAGAAUAACUCGGUAAAUAACUCAGUGAAAUGGAAAUAAAUUGACUCAAAUUGAUUAAAAGUCGAC